rnacentral:rRNA from 1 species
UACGAAGGGGGCUAGCGUUGCUCGGAAUCACUGGGCGUAAAGGGUGCGUAGGCGGGUCUUUAAGUCCGGGGUGAAAUCCUGGAGCUCAACUCCAGAACUGCCUUUGAUACUGAGGAUCUUGAGUUCGGGAGAGGUGAGUGGAACUGCGAGUGUAGAGGUGAAAUUCGUAGAUAUUCGCAAGAACACCAGUGGCGAAGGCGGCUCACUGGCCCGAUACUGACGCUGAGGCACGAAAGCGUGGGGAGCGAACAGG